rnacentral:rRNA from 1 species
UACCUGCAGCCCGAGUGGUGGCCGUUAUUAUUGGGCCUAAAACGUCCGUAGCCGGCUGAGUAGAUGCCUGUGUAAAUCGAACGGCUUAACCGUUCGAACUGCGGGUAGACCGCUCAGCUUGGGACCGGGAGAGUCACGAAGUACUCCGGGGGUAGAGGUGAAAUUCGCAGAUAUCAGGAGGAACACCAAUAGCGAAGGCAGCUCGCUGGGACGUCACUGACGCUGAGGCGCGAAAGCGUGGGGAGCGAACAGG